UUUUUAUUCAGAUGGGAUCAACGAUGAAGCGAUCGGUGUUUGAUGAGCAAACGUCAAAGGCAUUAAAGAUGUGGCAUAAGAAUGCAAAGAAAAAGAGUGAAACGCCAGGUCCAGUGCCUACAACCCGACCUAGAACCGCGGGCGAUAUCGAGUCUGCUCCGGCUAACAUCACCGCAAGUGUUGAUAAUAAGGAAGGAGAUCAGGGUCGUAAACCUGGUGACCUAUUAAGCGGUCCCUAGAAACCAGUUCGGUCAAGACACUGUACUUUCCGGCUUACUGAAAUACUAUUACAUAAUUUUUAUUAUUAUUAUAGGUUCUAAGCAUUUAUUUUAUGUAAUUAUUUGUUGUAUAACAAUAGUUCAAUUUUGUACAGCCUACCAAAGGACAUAAUAUAAAUCUGACCUAUAUAGCCUACAAGCUCGGGUUUAGCAUGAUUGAUCACCUUUAGCAACAACCUACCUUAGUGGUAAAGUUGAUGCAGUAACAUGUUUAAGCGAUAACAUAUGUGAUAAAUAACCUAUUUGCGGUUUUUUUUGUUGUCAUAACCAAUUUGAGUAAUGAUUUAUCUUUUUUUUUCAUGAUUUGAUCUUCAGAUAUUAAAUAGAAACUAAAACUUGCAACCAUUCGGGUCGGACUAGCCAGCUAACCCUACCUAAAAGUAAAUACAUCAUAUAAGAACCAGCUUUGUUCAGUAAGAGAAACUUCAAGAAAAUCCCGGGACAUAGAAAUCAAACCAAAGUUACAGUAAAGAAAAAGCAGUGUCAUUGGCUAAAGAUUUCUUUUAUUUGCUGGACAAGAAGACACAUCAUCUGGUGACACUAAGAAGGUAAAGGACACCGAUCACAUGCAGAGGCAUCUUCUCUCCCUUCAUCGCCGUGUUUUGGCUGGAGGUGCUCCUGCUGAGUGCAAGAAGGUCACCCAUCUCUCUCUCUUUGCCUUAUUAUUACAAAGCUUCUCUAUGUUGAUGUUGUUGUUGUUGUUCAGGGCUAUGUGCCGCUUAUAUCACUCAACGCGUUGCACCAAGUGCAUAUCUUUAUCUUCUUCUUGGCUGUGUUUCAUGUCAUUUAUAGUGCUAUUACCAUGAUGCUUGGAAGAGCAAAGGUAAAUUUAAAUAUAUAUAAUACAAUGUUUGAUCAAGGUGGUGACAUUGUUGUGUGUUUUUGUACAUGCAGAUUCGUGGAUGGAAAGUAUGGGAGGAAGAGGUCGUAAAUGAUCAUGAAAUGAUGGAUGGUUAGAUUUGUGAUUAUGAUUUCAGAUGUGGUCUAUAUCAUUAAGAAACGUAUUAACAAUUUUAAAAAAAAAUUAUUUUGGGUUAAAUUAUUAACAGUUUGUUUUUGAUUAAUGUAAUCUAUAGAUCCUUCUAGAUUUAGGCUCACACACGAAACAUCAUUUGUUCGAGAGCAUGUUAAUACUUGGGCGAGGAACAGAUUCUCCUUCUACGUUGUAUGAUUUUUGAGCUUCUUUAUUCCAUUUCUUGUGUCUCAAGCAAGAGAAAAAGAAAAUCCUCUUAUGAUUUUUGUUUUUCUUGCAGAUGUGUUUCUUACGUCAGAUGCUGAGAUCCGUAAGAAAAUCUGACUACUUGACGAUGCGUCAUGGGUUCAUUAGUGUAAGUUCUUUGAAAAUACGCAAACCAAUUUUCAAAUGAUCUUUCAACUUCUCUGAGAUUAGUUUUGUUUCCAAAAUUUUGUGUGUUACUUAGGUACAUUUGGCACCGGGUAUGAAGUUUAAUUUUCAAAAAUACAUCAAAAGGUCAUUAGAAGAUGACUUCAAGGUAGUGGUGGGAAUCAGGUAACUCAGAAAACCUCUUAACAUUUAUUCUUCUUACACUAAGAUUAACUUUCUUCAUCGUUUUUCUGAUGCAAUUUUAAAAUCUCUCCAGUCCUGCGCUAUGGGCCUUUGUAAUGAUCUUCUUACUCGUUGAUGUUCACGGUUCGUCAUUUUCAUAUCAUGUAUAGUAUUAUUCAACACGUACGGUAUAAGGUUUAGAAUCUCAUUGUUUUGGUAUUAACGUUUUAGGAUGGUAUGUUACUGCUGUGAUUACCAUGGUUCCUCCAGUUGUAAGUGACUCAGUCUCUACCUUGUAGCUUUUGCUUCUAUUAAAAGAACAAUAUAGAGAAAGUUUGUGAGCUUACUGACAAAUUGUGUAUGCUUUGAAGUUGACAUUAGCGAUAGGAACCAAGCUUCAGGCCAUUAUAUCAGACAUGGCGUUGGAGAUUCAGGAGAGACAUGCAGUGAUACAAGGGAUGCCACUAGUCAAUGUCUCUGACCGACAUUUCUGGUUCGCUCGUCCCGCUUUAGUCCUCCAUAUCAUCCAUUUCAUUCUCUUCCAGGUACUUUCACGGGUUAUAAAAAUUGGCCGAUUGAUAAAAGUGUGUAUUUUGUCUAUGUUCUAAUGAGCUUACUUGAUUGUUCAGAAUGCUUUUGAGAUCACCUACUUCUUUUGGAUAUGGGUAAGUAAAUAUAUACACACAACUCUCUUCUUCCCAUGAUGAUAUAUGUUUAGUUCACUUAUUCUGCUUCCAUUUUUGCAGUAUGAGUUCGGAUUAAGGUCCUGUUUUCAUCACCAUUUCUACCUCAUAAUCAUUCGGGUUGCUCUAGGGUGAGUCCUUUCUGGUUUACUUGACCCACAAGAAACACUAUUUUAUCAAAACUACCAUAUUUAAAACUUUUCUUAAUGCAGGGUGGGAGUACAAUUUCUUUGUAGCUACAUCACACUUCCUCUCUACGCUCUCGUGACUCAGGCAUGUCAAAGUUUUAUUUAAUAUAUUCUUUUGCCUCCUUUGAAAGUUUGGUUUAAGCUUUUACUUACUGUGGCGAUUAAAUGUUUUUAUUCAGAUGGGAUCAACGAUGAAGCGAUCGGUGUUUGAUGAGCAAACGUCAAAGGCAUUAAAGAUGUGGCAUAAGAAUGCAAAGAAAAAGAGUGAAACGCCAGGUCCAGUGCCUACAACCCGACCUAGAACCGCGGGCGAUAUCGAGUCUGCUCCGGCUAACAUCACCGCAAGUGUUGAUAAUAAGGAAGGAGAUCAGGGUCGUAAACCUGGUGACCUAUUAAGCGGUCCCUAGAAACCAGUUCGGUCAAGACACUGUACUUUCCGGCUUACUGAAAUACUAUUACAUAAUUUUUAUUAUU
rnacentral:lncRNA from 1 species